rnacentral:rRNA from 1 species
AUGCAUGUCUAAGUAUAAGCAAUUUAUACUGCGAAACUGCGAAUGGCUCAUUAAAUCAGUUAUCGUUUAUUUGAUAGUACCUUACUACUUGGAUAACCGUGGUAAUUCUAGAGCUAAUACAUGCUAAAAACCCCAACUUACGAAGGGGUGUAUUUAUUAGAUUAAAAACCAAUGCCCUUCGGGGCUCCUUGGUGAUUCAUAAUAACUUCUCGAAUCGCAUGGCCUUGCGCCGGCGAUGGUUCAUUCAAAUUUCUGCCCUAUCAACUUUCGAUGGCAGGGUCUUGGCCUGCCAUGGUUACAACGGGUAACGGAGGGUUAGGGCUCGACCCCGGAGAAGGAGCCUGAGAAACGGCUACUACAUCCAAGGAAGGCAGCAGGCGCGCAAAUUACCCAAUCCCGAUACGGGGAGGUAGUGACAAUAAAUACUGAUACAGGGCUCUUUUGGGUCUUGUAAUUGGAAUGAGUACAAUUUAAAUCCCUUAACGAGGAACAAUUGGAGGGCAAGUCUGGUGAGCCGCGGUAAUUCCAGCUCCAAUAGCGUAUAUUAAAGUUGUUGCAGUUAAAAAGCUCGUAGUUGAACCUUGGGCCUGGCUGGCCGGUCCGCCUCACCGCGUGCACUGGUUCGGCCGGGCCUUUCCCUCUGGGGAACCCCAUGCCCUUCACUGGGUGUGGCGGGGAACCAGGACUUUUACUGUGAAAAAAUUAGAGUGUUCAAAGCAGGCCUAUGCUCGAAUACAUCAGCAUGGAAUAAUAGAAUAGGACGUGCGGUUCUAUUUUGUUGGUUUCUAGGACCGCCGUAAUGAUUAAUAGGGACAGUCGGGGGCAUCAGUAUUCAAUUGUCAGAGGUGAAAUUCUUGGAUUUAUUGAAGACUAACUACUGCGAAAGCAUUUGCCAAGGAUGUUUUCAUUAAUCAGGAACGAAAGUUAGGGGAUCGAAGACGAUCAGAUACCGUCGUAGUCUUAACCAUAAACUAUGCCGACUAGGGAUCGGACGAUGUUAUUUUUUGACUCGUUCGGCACCUUACGAGAAAUCAAAGUGGGUGGAGCCUGCGGCUUAAUUNGACUCAACACGGGGAAACUCACCAGGUCCAGACACAAUGAGGAUUGACAGAUUGAGAGCUCUUUCUUGAUUUUGUGGGUGGUGGUGCAUGGCCGUUCUUAGUUGGUGGAGUGAUUUGUCUGCUUAAUUGCGAUAACGAACGAGACCUUAACCUGCUAAAUAGCCCGUAUUGCUUUGGCAGUACGCUGGCUUCUUAGAGGGACUAUCCGCUCAAGCGGAUGGAAGUUUGAGGCAAUAACAGGUCUGUGAUGCCCUUANAUGUUCUGGGCCGCACGCGCGUUACACUGACAGAGCCAGCGAGUACUCCCUUGGUAGAAAUACCCGGGUAAUCUUGUUAAACUCNGNCGNGCU